GGGUCAAUGAACUACAUUAGUUCCCAGGCACAGGGACAACACAUGAUUGUUCCUUCCAUGCAAGGCAACGAGUAGAGAGUUGUAGUUUCUCAGUUACCAAUCUAAUGAAUUUUAGGGCCUGUAAAAAUGUUUAGAAUCAGCGCCUAUAGCAUCUAUUAUAUUGGUUUAUUGUCUGAUUUGGACCGAAGUGCCAAGUAUUCUUGGGACUUCGGUUUUGCUGAAGCCCUCUUCAGCUGAACAGCUUUAAUAGGCACAUAACUUCUGUAAAUUUGAU
rnacentral:misc_RNA from 1 species